GAUGAACGCUGGCGGCGUGCCUAAUACAUGCAAGUCGAGCGAACGGACGAGAAGCGUGCUUCUCUGAGGUUAGCGGCGGACGGGUGAGUAACACGUGGAUAACCUACCUAUAAGACUGGGGUAACUUCGGGAAACCGGAGCUAAUACCGGAUGAUACUUUGAACCGCAGGGUGCAAAAGUGAAAGACGGCUUUGCUGUCACUUAGAGAUGGAUCCGCGCUGCAUUAGCUAGUUGGUAAGGUAACGGCUUACCAAGGCAACGAUGCAUAGCCGACCUGAGAGGGUGAUCGGCCACACUGGAACUGAGACACGGUCCAGACUCCUACGGGAGGCAGCAGUAGGGAAUCUUCCGCAAUGGGCGAAAGCCUGACGGAGCAACGCCGCGUGAGUGAUGAAGGUCUUCGGAUCGUAAAACUCUGUUAUUAGGAAAGAACAUAUGUGUAAGUAACUCUGCACAUCUUGACGGUACCUAAUCAGAAAGCCACGGCUAACUACGUG
rnacentral:rRNA from 1 species